UCAACCAAUGAUGAUAGUGUGCCAUGGAUUAAGGACUAUGAUUAAUCCAGUUCUGGAAGCCUUCGGUCAGGU
ensembl:snoRNA